UAGCUGGCGGAAGAGGACACACCUAUGAGGGAGGCGCGGGCGAUCAUUCUGCGCUUCCGGUUUGAGAACUUGAACGCACCGUGAGGCGAACGCCCAGAAGGAGGAACCCAGUAGGAUCAGGAAGUCUGAGGGAGGGAGAGCAUGAUGGGUUUGAUCUGGGGCAUACUGGGUGUGGGAUGGUUCGGGGACAUCCGAGUAGAAUGGCCUGGGAUCAUUUGGCCAUUUGGAUCCAGAGCUCUGGAGAGAGACCUCCCGGAGAUACAAAUGGGGUGUUAUCAGUGUCAGGGUGGGAGUGGGCGUCAUGGCAAGGGGGCAGCCACCUCGGAAGGAAGCACAGGACUGUAGGGAGCUCAGCUUUGAAGGGUCAGGCACAGGUAGGAGAUCUCUAGAAGGGAGGAGACCGAGAAGUCCUGUUAAUAUCCCGGAGGGAAUUCUGUCACAUCCAUCCUUGUCUCAGUCAUGGAAACGCCCUCUCGUGGGGGGCUUCUCACAACCCCCGGGGCUGCCGGGCUGGCUCUGAAGAAUGACCUUAGACCACCGUUUCUCAAACCAGCGGCUGCAGACACGACUUCCCUGUUCUGAACAUUUCAUAGGAACGGAACCACACAAUAUGUAAUUUACUGUCAUUUUUAAGGAUUUCAUCAUCCCAUCUGAGAACUUCAGUCUUCACUCUGUGGGGAGGAUACAGGCAUUAAGCAACAGUGCUGGGUGCUUUUCUGUGAUCUCAUCUAGUUCUUUCCACCUCUCUGGGAAGGCAGCCUUAUCAACCUUAUUUUACUGAGGAGAGAGCUGAGGUUAAAGGGAUUAACUGCCUUGCCAAAGGCCCUGAGACCGGGAGCAGUAACGCCAGAUGGGCAUUGGGCUCUGUCUGCCUGCAAACAUUCACGGCGUUGCUAAGUGCUGCAGCAGGGACGGCGUGGGAGAGAGAACACAGGCAACCCACAGCAGCCUGCGUGCGUGGGCUCUCCUCCACAGAGUCCAAUGGAAGCUGCUGGACCAGAGCAGCACGAGGAUGAUUUCAGCAACAACAGGAUGUUUCCCCAUGGGCUGGAGUGAACUUCCCUCCUUUAACUGCUUCUCCCUGAUGGGGAGGGAGUGUGGCAGGAAUCUGAGCCCGCAGGAACCCCGGUGCCUUGGGAAUGUUCCAGACCAGAUGGCUCAGGCUGUGGUCACCCCAAGCCCUGGCCCUGGCCUCCGCCUCGGCUGCCAGGCCCUGGGACACAGCUAGACACCCCGUCUGCAGGCUCCAGCUUGGUGGAGCUUUGGAAUCCGAGCUCUGCUACACCCACCGCAGGGAACUUAUCAUCUCAUUAUAAAGGAUAAGGCAUAUUUUUUUCAGUAUGGUUAUAUGUGGUAAUGAAGCAUGCAGAAAACCACACAAGAUAGAUGGCAGCUUUCACUAGUGAAGCCGAAAACUUGGUUAACUUAAUAGUCUAUUUAUUACAAUCACUCUCUGAGCUUACGGCACCUGAUUAAUAUCUCCCAUCUCCCCCCCGCCAACCCCCGCCAUGAUGUACAAUUAAAAAACUAGUAAUAUGGGAUGGCACAGACUGACUCCAGCACAGACGGGCACAGAUUCGGAGGUCGAGAGAGUAAGUGGAGAAGGGCGUAUCGUCCUGGGUCGGCAUGGUAGAGUCAGAUCCCCUGCAGCUCCACUGAGAGCUGCUUCUAAGGAAGUAAAUGAACUUGAGCAGAAAAGGACCCUGAUGCCCUUCCCCGGGUCUUACCCAUUCCUAUGUUUCUGUCAGGAGAGUGGCAAAACCUGCACGGAGAGGGCCUAUCAGUGGAGGUGGCUGUGCGCCCUUGAAUCGCUUACUACGACAAGCUGUGACGCAGAAUGAGGUGAUCCUAAUGGUAGAGCUACUCAGAAGCCACUCCCAGCUUCCUGUUCCCUAUAAGUUCUGACCCAUGAGAUAGAAGAAGAAAUCUGCUAAGGGACUUCUAGGGAACAGUUUGCUUUCUUAAAAAAUGGAAAGGCUUGUUGUGAGAAUUUGCUGGAGCUUCUCCUUCCUCCUUCUUCCUGCACUGAAUGUGGAUGUGAUGCUUGGAACUUGGGCAGCCAUCUUGGCACUGCAAAGCUAAUAAUAUUGGAUCAGUAUUCCUGAGGAAUCUGCCUUUCAGAAUCCUGGGUCCUGAGAGACAAGAAGUACAUGGCAAGCAAAUCAAAUAUACCUUAAAAAAAAAUGAAAUCAUGUAACAGAAAGAUUUUUCAGAAGGUUUUUUUUUUUUUGAUUACACAUGAGAUUUCAAACGUUCCACAACCUAGCAGGAAGAAAGAAAAUAUUAGUUUGGGAAUCAGGAGAUCAGAUGUCGAGAUUGGACUAAAUCUUCAUAGUCAUUUCUGGAUUUAAAGCUCUGUGUUAUCUAUUACUUGAUGCAAAGCCAUCAACUAGUCCUCCCGCCCCUAACCACUGAAAAAGUCAUCUAUAGGACCUGUGUGCAAAGAAGAGUAGAUGUCCUAAAACUAGCGUGGAGUGUGUGUCCACUUCCGUGCCCAGGCCGGUGGGUCCUCAGGGCUCACGAAAGUCAUGUAUGCCCAUUCCUGAAGCCUUUCUGGAAGGUGUUCCCUCCUCCCCAGGCCCAUGGUCACUUUCUCUUCUUUCCAGCCUGGAAGGAGUGACAAUGAGAGGAACUGUAUCCUCUCUGAAUGACACUGUCCUCAUCUGUCAACUGUGAUCAUAAUAUUGUCUCCCAGGGCUGCCCCGAGAAUGAAAUGAGAGGACAUAAGGUCUCUUUUCCAGAGAUGAACAAAGAUCUCGGAGUGGUGAGCUCCUUGGUCAGCCUUUUCAGAGGGGACAGGAAAUCUGGUCUAUUAAUUCAGCCUACGAUUGCUGUGAAGUCACUAUGUUACCCUUUAGGGGUAUUGGUAUUUUAAGAAAAUACUGCAGGAGGGAUUAAUGUUUAAGACUAUAAAGAAAAAAAGAACUCCUGAUAGAAUUUCAGAUACCUUUCUAGGAGGUAUUUUUGGAGCUAAGAAUCCACAUCAAGCCCUUCCGGCUGUAUGGUAGGGGUACUGUGAGGCAGAUUUUCUGGCCUCCCCAAACGGGGACAGAUGGUGGUGACAAGAGUUCCCAGAGCUACUUUCAAGGGCAUAAACUGGAUCUGGGAGGUAGAAAUGGCAGCAUGGGAAUGUUUGACCUGGAUGAAGUUUUGUGAGAAAGUGCAACAGAACACCUGACACCAGGAGGGUCUCCUGGGCCUCACUAGGAGCUGUGGGUUUGGAGUGUCCAGUGCCUUUGACUUAGGGCAUCUCUGACUUUGGAGGUCACAGGACCUCUCAAGCCUCCGCGUCUGCUCUGCAGAAUGGGAAGCACAAGGGUACCUCUCGUACAGAGGGGCUGGGAAGUCGACGUGUGAUUCUCUUAGCCCCUUGCCUGAUACACAGUCAGUGUUCAAACGUUAGUGAUUAGCUAGGGUGUCAGCUGCGGAGCACAGGGACCCCAGAGACCUCAGGAAUGGGGAGCUAAAAGCACGGGAGCCGAAAAUAAGUAUGCUGAUAUCAGCCCCUUUUCCAUUUUGUCUGCGAGCAGGAAAGUAGCCAAUUAGGCCCCAUUCAGCGCGACGGGCAGCCUCCUGUCUCUCAGGAGGUAAACUUGCUUACAGAGUAGAAACAAGAUGUAUUCUUGAAACACAGGCCGGGCCCCAGAGAAGCGGGUCUGUCAUCAGUCUGUCGGGGGCGAGAGGUAAUUCCUGCCUGGCCCCUUGCAGGCGUUGUGGGGGAUUGUGGCCUCCAGGGUCCUUCCAGGGUCCUGGGAACUAGAGGCGGGGGUCUGGCUCUGGGAAUUUCUGAAGGCGAUCAAUGGGGAAACAACUUACUCACUGACAGCCCGAGGCUGAGCUGAACCUCAUGCCUGGUCCGUGGGCCACCCACAUCAGGCAGGGCUGCUCAGAGCCUGGGAACAGGACAUUCACUGUGCAGGUCGGAGGGGAGGGAGAGGGGUGUGGUGAGGAGGAAAGAGCCAUGACUGGAGUCACUGAUGUGCCCUCUGUGCCCGCCUCUGUCACCGGCCAGUGGGGGGAUCCCCGAGCUUCAGGACCUGUUUCCUCUGCUCUAAAAGGCAGAAAGGGAUUAGAUCUGCUUUUUACACAGUAGAACUCUUUCCACAAAUUAGAUCUAAACAAAGAACUGUUAUAUAAAGCAGUGAAAGCAAGACGUACUGGUUACACCAGCUCCCACCGCCCUCCCCCGCCGCAGUGGUUCUAAGGCACUUCCAAUGAAACCUCAGGGCUCUGAGGAAUAUCAGGGAAACCAUCAGUGUAAAUUGUAUCCAUUAUUCUAUGACUUCAUCUGGCUAGUUGUGUCCCUUCAUUAUUUUGAUGAAUAUCCUUGUAAGAAAAUAGAAAAAAAAUGUAUUGGUCUCUGCCCACAGUUCCUGGCACAGGAACUCCCCAGAGCUCCUGAAACCCUCCUAACUUCAUAAGUGAUAAGAGUGUCCUUUGUUCUAAUGAGGUGACUCUGGGUGGGCUUCUGGAUGGAAGCUAAUCACUGGAAGACUGGAAUUUUCAGCCUUGCCCCCCAUUCUCUAAAGAAGAGAGAAGAGAGAAAGAUUGGAGUUGAUGGUUUGCCAUGCGUACGUGAUGGAGCCCCAGUAGAAUCCCAAUGGCUUGGGGUUUGGAGAGCAUCCAGGUUGGUGAACAUGUCCAUCCCAGGAAGCUGAUGCACCCCAACUCCACAGGCAAAGAAGCUCCUGUGUUUGGGACCCUCCCAGACCUUGCCCUUUUCCCUGUUCCUCUAGCCUUCAUCUGUAUCCUUUAUCGCAGCCAUUAAAAAAUGGGCAAACACGAGUAAGCAUUUUCCUGAGUUCUUUGAGCCACUCAAGCAAAUUAACAGAACCCAAGGAGGGGGUCGUGGGGACCUCUGAUUUGUAGCCAAGUCAGACAGAGCUUGGGGGGUCACCUGGGGACCUGCUACUUGUGAUUGGUGUCUUGAAGUGGGGGCAGACUCACGGGACCCAGGCCUUAACCUGUGGAAUCUGAAGCUGUCUCCAGGUAGACAGUGUCAGAAUCGAAUUGAAGUAUAGGAAAUCCCCUCCACCCCACACGUUGGAAUUGGGUUUAGAACCCUCGAAUCCACGCAAGUCUCACUUGACUUGCAAGAAGGUCAAAUACAAAAUACUUAUUUUACAAUGAAAUUCAUUCCUUUGGGUAGGUCUCCUCUUUUGUUUACAUUUUCCAAGCAGGCAUUUAGGAUGCCAGAGUGACUUAUAGUUAUGCUGGUAGUUACUGAAGCUUGUAAAGGCCACCUAAUCACUUGGAUUUGAUAUUCAUUAGUCAUUUACACCUAUGAGGAAUGGAAAGCUCUAGGAGGUUAUGUGUGUGUGUGUGAGUGUGUAUGUGUGUGGUGUAGGUGCUGGGUCCAGGGCGAAUGGGCCUUUGGGAAGAUGGAGAAGCUGCUGGUCCAGGUCACUAAGGAUCCUCACUCAGUAGGACGGGUUUCUUUGCCUUUUAUCUUACCAUCCAUUCCCCUGCCUCAUUUCCUUUCCUCCUUUCUCCUUUCUUCCAAUUUUGAAACAAUAUUAGAUCCAGCUUCCCUGCAGAUUUUGGGAUGGUAAGAGAUGUUGGAGGCGAUGCAAAGACAAAGGGCACAGCACAUCUCUUCAAGGAGCUCCCAGCCUGCUGGGGGAACAGGAUCUGCAAGCAAGUCCAGUGCAGUGAGGACAGCAAGGUGGCCACAGAGGGCCCUGAGAGCAGAGGAAGGAGCGUCCAGCUAGGCACAGGGGAGUGAAGGACAGGGUGGUGGGCACACACCCAAACACAGGACCUCUCUCUCAAACCCAACAUGGUAUGGAUUUUGUGCAGCAGUUAUCAAAGGAUAUCUGCAGGGAGAAACUUCAUGGGAAGGAGUUGGGGUGGCCACCUUGUCAGAGAAAGGAUCUCCCAGGCAUCGCCACAUUCUACCUUCACGCAAACCGAUGAGACAUGUUCACGAAGGGGUCUGCCCCCCGCCAUGCAUAAUAAUAGCAACAAUAAUGAGUAAUCUCUACUUAAUGAGAUUAAAUUAAUAAUUAUUUUAAUUAUGACAUGUUUUCCUCCUCUCUUCCCCAUGCCUAAGCAGACUUGGUCUUUCUCAGGAUUACAGUCAUAAUGGUAACAGAUAAACCUUAAUUAAAACAUUCUAUGGGGUUAUGGACAUUGGGGAGGGUAUGU